GAGAACGACUACCGACGUUGACGAUGGAGCAAUCAGACCCUGAGCCAGGAUCCGAUGCCAUCGAAGAACCUCAGUACGAUGCGGAAGAACAAGCAGAACCAGGACUCAUCGUUAUCGAAGAACCUCAGCCAGGGCCUUCCAAAAGACAACGGCUCAUAUAAAUUUUGCAUAUUAUAAUUUAUAAUCAUAAUAAUAUAUGAUCAUAAGUAACGA